GGCCAUAAAAGGACUCUGAAGGUAAACUGAGGUAUGGUUCAGAAAGAAGGGGAGCUUCAGAAAGGUGAGUAGGGGAGGAGGAUGGACACCAGGUGCUCACACUUAGUCUAUGCCAUCUCUGGAGGAGAUGGAAGAGGCUAAAAAGGACUGAAGAGGGUAGGGGUGGAGCAAGGGCAGUGGGAAGUCUGGAGGCUGGAAGUCUGGAGACAGGGACCCCUGCUGGCCUCUUCUAGGCACCUCCUCUCCAGGACCCACUGGCUCCCAUCCAUUUACUUACUUGUCCCCUUCAACUACCACCACCAGAGGUGAUGCUUCUUGCAGACUAGGAAUCUCUAAGACAGUGACUCCUCAGGACUCCUGCCUUGCACUCCACCUUUACCAAUUUCAGGUUCCCUGAUCUGCCCACCCCUCAAGAGUUCAGCCAACCACGUGUGGCAGCCCCCAGCCAGCAUUCCAGGGAAGACGAGUCUGAUCACAGGUUGCAUGUAAGAAACCAUGUGAAGAAAGGACCCUACUAUCUACAACAACAAGAUCUCUAGGGCACAGAGCCGGGGCUGAAAGCCAGAUGAAGUUGCACUGUCCGAUACAUAGCAACAGCCAUAUGUGGCUAUUGUGCACCUGAAAUGCGACUAGUUC